AACAAACGCUGGCGGCGUGCCUAACACAUGCAAGUCGUACGAGAAAGUCCGCUUCGGUGGAUGAGUAAAGUGGCGCACGGGUGAGUAACGCGUGGAUAAUCUCCCCUUCAGUUGGGAACAACUCAUCGAAAGGUGGGCUAAUACCGAAUAACACUGCGAGACUUUGGUCGAGCAGUCAAAGAGAGCCUCUGCUUGCAUGCCCUCGCUGAAGGAUGAGUCCGCGUACCAUUAGCUUGUUGGCAGGGUAAUGGCCUACCAAGGCGACGAUGGUUAGCUGGUCUGAGAGGAUGAUCAGCCACACUGGAACUGAGACACGGUCCAGACUCCUACGGGAGGCAG
rnacentral:rRNA from 1 species